UUAGUUUUCAAAUAGUCCAUAAUAAUUAUAAUAAUAAUAAAAAAAACUAUAAUGCAGCAAAUAAAUAGUGAUGCAGAGUGGAUACUUUGGUACCUGCUAGUGUGGAACUAGUUUCUUUCGUAAGUUUAUCUUCAAUAUCCUUUUAUCCACCAGUGGCAAUUGAUUGACUAGCAGUGAGCCUGUACUGCAUUUGUGGAUAUCUAAUGCACCGGGAGAUGGUCAGACAGAUUAAAUUCUGCACGUCCUUUUACAAAGUGGGUCUUGCUUACUGGCAAUGAUUGAGACAGACGUUUGCAUUUCUACUCCAGAUGAAGGCCAUGAAUGGCUGAGCACAACAACGGCCGUGCCUACACCAGUGUUCUGCAGGAGCAGCGGCUGUAGUGAGACCAAGAUGGUGAUGGAAAAAUGGUG